rnacentral:tRNA from 1 species
GAGGAUAUAGCUCAAUUGGCAGAGUGCGUGCUUAGCAUGCACGAGGUCCUGGGUUCAAUCCCCGCUACCUCCA